GUUUUUUGAGGCGAUUAGUGUGGAGUUGCCACUAGAGGUAUUUUAGAGGCGACUAUGUCGCCCCAAUUAGUAGCGCUCCUGCGGCGAUAUUUUUAUUAUUGCUAAAUCAAACCUCUAAAAUUAAGAAAAUAAAAAUUGAGAAAGUAAGAAACCCUUCUUUAGAUUCAUUUUCUUUUUAAUUCUCUUUCUUUACUUUAGUGUUUCCCAUGAAGAACAAAAUCCUAGCGCCUACGGCCCCUCUUCUUCAUAGAUCUAGUUCAUAGCCGUCGACCAACGACUGUAAUCGUCGGUAUUGUACCCACUUCUUCACGGCUAUCCUGCUCUCUUCCCCAGAAAUCUGUAUCUCUUAUGCUCUAGUUUUGCCUCUCAGGGAAUCGGUACGUCUCCUGUCUCUUUCCGUUCUUUUAUGAAUUUAGAGGAUUUUGUGUAAAUUACUUUUAAACCAUUCAUUAGUUGGUUUCAUCAAUAAGUUUUUGAUGCAGAGUAGCUGAAUUUCCACGGAUGCAAAUCAUUUGAGUAAUUUGAUCUUAUUAAUUGUAGCUUAGACAUGAAGAGUUGUGUUAAUUUGAGAAUAGUAGAGGUGAACUUUGAUUAAUCAGUAAAAGAAAGUCAAUCUUUGAGUUGCUACAUGCCAUAAGACUGUUUCAUCUGAUCAUCCUACUGCUAGUGUGGGACAACGUUGUUUAUAAUGGGAAUGGUUGGCAAGGAGGAGUUUGAAGAUAUCUUGUGAUUCUUUUGUUUUCAUGUGUAGAUACCAUGACAUGUAUUUAUGAAGUGGUGUCUUUGUAUUAUGACAUUUGAGUUAUGAAAAGUUCUUAUGCUACUCUUCUUGAGAAA